GACCUUCCGGCCCGCCAUAUCCAAAAGCUACAGAAAAAAGACGCACAUGGAUCACUGCAAUUCACAGAAACAGCUGGACUCCAGCAGAGAAACAUGGAUUUGGAGUUAUCGUUUUGUGUCAGAUUCUUGUAUUUUGAGAAUGGUGAGAGACGCAUGCAAGCAGAUGGUACGUAGAAUGGAGGCUGAGAGGAUGACUGGAGACAGAGGAAGGUGAACACACACACAUGGACGAUAGAGACAAUGAGACUGGGAAACAUGCUGGAGUAGAACUGGUAGGUAAAUCUAGAGGAUGUGGAGAUCGAUUACAUGAGUCCUUCAUAUGAACAAGAUCGGACUACUGGCAGAGGUGAGUGCAGUGUCUUAUAGUCCGUGGUGAUGAGGUGCUGAUGGUGAUCAGGUGCGUGUGAUCAGUACCAAGGUUAGGUAGCCUGCGGUGGUGGGCUGCUGGAAGAGGAUUUUGAUGAAGUUCCACUUCUGUAUUUACACACAGUCAAUAUGAUGCAGAGGAUGCAGGAAAGGACCAAGGCCAGGAUAUAACCUGUUACCUUAAUUAAAAAAAAAAAAAAAAAAACAUUGCAUAAGUCAAAUUCAAAACAAUAUUAAACAACUAUAAUAUGCUAUAAUAUGUUAUCACAGGUUAUAAGCAAAAUUGUUUUUGUCAAAAAUAGUGACGGAAAGGAAUCUUUCCUGCAAAUUCUGUUGGAGAAACUUGCUUCUUACCCAUUAACAGAAUGUAUAAAUAAAUCAGGUGGAAUUCACUUAGACUGAAAUGUGCUGUCCGAGUUGAUUUAGCAGCUAAAAAGUGACAAGACACCCAAUACUACUUUUAACUAGUGACUUGUGUUGAUUUCACUUGACAUAUUACAGAGUUUCUCUGUCUAAACUGCCUGAUAUUUUGGUUUGAAAUGUUGUUCACUGUAUAUAGAUUUACUCAAUGAAAAUGUUAUAAAAACAUCAUUAGGCCUUUCUGAUGGAUUAUAUCUAUAAUGGUAUUUAAAACAGGAUUAUACAAUAUGAAAUGAUAUUGUGUCAUUUAUCUGUAAAGUUCAUUUGUACAUAUUUUUAGGUUUCUCAUCUUUGUGAAAUGGUAAAUCAUUCAAAUUUCCCUAACAUAUAAUUAGUCAUUACUAAGUCCUUUGUUACAGAUUUCUUAUUUUUUCAGUUGAAAUAUUAUUAGAAUAGAAUUGAAAUAUUAAACUAUCUCUAUUCAAUUUAUUCUUUCUUGACAAAACUUGGAAUAGAUUGGGGUGAAAAUGCUUGGUACUUACCUUUGAUGCGUUGAUUAUCACUCUUGUGUAGGCAUAAUCUGAUAUUUAUCUGUAUAUGUGUUUUCAUAUUUUGAUAUAUUGUGUAGAU